AAUCAACGCUGGCGGCGUGCCUCAGACAUGCAAGUCGAACGAUUAAAGCUCUCUUCGGAGAGUGCAUAGAGUGGCGCACGGGUGAGUAACACGUAAGUAAUCUACCCUCGGGUGGGGAAUAACAUCGGGAAGCCGAUGCUAAUACCGCAUAAUGCAGCGGCACCGCAAGGUGACAGUUGUUAAAGAUUUAUUGCCUGGGGAGGAGCUUGCGGCAGAUUAGCUUGUUGGUAAGGAAACGGCUUACCAAGGCUACGAUCUGUAUCCGGUCUAAGAGGACGGUCGGACACACUGACACUGAAUAACGGGUCAGACUCCUACGGGAGGCAGCAGUCGGGAAUUUUGGGCAAUGGGGGAAACCCUGACCCAGCAACGCCGCGUGAAGGAUGAAGUAUUUCGGUAUGUAAACUUCGAAAGAAUAGGAAGAAUUAAUGACGGUACUAUUUAUAAGGUCCGGCUAACUACGUGCCAGCCGCCGCCGUAA
rnacentral:rRNA from 1 species